UACGUAGGGCGCAAGCGUUAUCCGGAGUUAUUGGGCGUAAAGAGCUCGUAGGCGGUUUGUCGCGUCUGCCGUGAAAGUCCGGGGCUCAACUCCGGAUCUGCGGUGGGUACGGGCAGACUAGAGUGAUGUAGGGGAGACUGGAAUUCCUGGUGUAGCGGUGAAAUGCGCAGAUAUCAGGAGGAACACCGAUGGCGAAGGCAGGUCACUGGGCCGCAACUGACGCUGAGGAGCGAAAGCAUGGGGAGCGAACAGG
rnacentral:rRNA from 1 species